GACGAACGCUGGCGGCGUGCUUAACACAUGCAAGUCGAACGGAAAGGCCCUGCUUGCAGGGUACUCGAGUGGCGAACGGGUGAGUAACACGUGGGUGAUCUGCCCUGCACUUCGGGAUAAGCCUGGGAAACUGGGUCUAAUACCGGAUAGGAGCCAUUUUUAGUGUGAUGGUUGGAAAGUUUUUUCGGUGUAGGAUGAGCUCGCGGCCUAUCAGCUUGUUGGUGGGGUAAUGGCCUACCAAGGCGGCGACGGGUAGCCGGCCUGAGAGGGUGGACGGCCACAUUGGGACUGAGAUACGGCCCAGACUCCUACGGGAGGCAGCAGUGGGGAAUAUUGCACAAUGGGCGCAAGGCUGAUGCAGCGACGCCGCGUGGGGGAUGACGGCCUUCGGGUUGUAAACUCAUUUCGCUAGGGACGAAGCUUUUUGUGACGGUACCUAGAUAAGAAGCACCGGCUAACUACGUG
rnacentral:rRNA from 1 species